UGCAAUAAUGCCACACUUAGGGCUAGGUGCGUACGGAAUCGCCCUCCUCGAAUCCUCUGCCGCCGGAAACGAGGUCCCUACCUCCUCCCUCUGCCUCCCCACAGCCGGAAAGGAGCUCCGAGCUCGUCCCCGACCCCGCGCCCCCGUCUCUCUGCCGCCGCCGUCGACGACGCAUCUGUGCAGCCGCUGCCGGCCUCUGCACCCGACUCCAACCUGUGCCCCCGCCGUCAACCUCCCCUCCAGACAUCCAGCGGCAAGAGUAAAGGAAUAUGCCUUCACUGCAAAAAGCUCUGCCUCCAGAACUUGCUGAUAAUGCACUCAGAUUAUUCCGCGAAUGCUUAAGGAGGGCUAAGUUCAUUGGCAAUCAGCAACACAACACGGGGCUUCUCGUUUCCAUGGUGAGGCAACAGUUCAAGAAAAACAUGCAUGAGACUGAUCCAGAGAAGAUACAGAAGAUGAAGGACGAUGCGGCAAGGGGCCUUAUCAAUCACAUCAUAUACGAGUCCGAGAAGAUGACAGGGCGCAAGUUCUCGGGUUAAGACAGUUCAGUUCUUGGAUGUUCCUUUCCUUUUUUAUUCUCGGCAUACACCGUAUGAAUAAUAUAUGACCAGCUGAUGCUUCACCAUUUUUUUUCGCACUUCUACUGCGGUUCUUGAUGUAAUUGGCGCGCACAUGCUUAGCGCUAGCUGGUUUGGUUGAUCUUUAGGUCUCUUCCAAGCGUGGAGAUGAAGAUCUUCAACAAAUUUUAGUGCUCCAGUCAGUGUGAAAACACACGUGCAAUAUUUUUUUUCUUCUGAUCUUUUUAGGGGAAUUUCCUUCUGAUGCAUUGAGGCAGC
rnacentral:rRNA from 1 species